rnacentral:rRNA from 1 species
AGUGAACGCUGGCGGUAGGCCUAACACAUGCAAGUCGAACGGCAGCACAGUAAGAGCUUGCUCUUACGGGUGGCGAGUGGCGGACGGGUGAGGAAUACAUCGGAAUCUACUUUUUCGUGGGGGAUAACGUAGGGAAACUUACGCUAAUACCGCAUACGACCUACGGGUGAAAGCAGGGGAUCUUCGGACCUUGCGCGAUUGAAUGAGCCGAUGUCGGAUUAGCUAGUUGGCGGGGUAAAGGCCCACCAAGGCGACGAUCCGUAGCUGGUCUGAGAGGAUGAUCAGCCACACUGGAGCUGAGACACGGUCCAGACUCCUACGGGAGGCAGCAGUGGGGAAUAUUGGACAAUGGGCGCAAGCCUGAUCCAGCCAGACCGCGUGUGUUAAGAAGGCCUUCGGGUUGUAAAGCCCUCUUGUUGGGAAAGAAAAGCAGCAGGUUAAUACCCCGCUGUUCUGACGGUACCCAAAGAAUAAGCACCGGCUAACUUCGUG